rnacentral:rRNA from 1 species
AGUGAACGCUGGCGGCAGGCCUAACACAUGCAAGUCGAACGGCAACACAAGGAAGCUUGCUCUCUGGGUUUCGCGUGGCGGACGUGUGAGACAUGCAUCUGAAUCUGCCCAUUUGUUGGGGAUAACCUCGGGAAACCGAGACUAAUACCGCAUACGACCUACGGGUGAAAGCUGGGGAUCUUCAGACCUUGCUCAUAUGGAUGAGCCGGUGCCGGAUUAGCUAGUUGGAGGGGUAAAGGCUCACCAAGGCGACGAUGCGUAGCUGGUCUGAGAGGAUGAUCGGCCACACUGGAACUGAGACACGGUCCAGACUCCUACGGGAGGCAGCAGUGGGGAAUCUUCGGCAAUGGGCGAAAGCCUGACGCAGCAACGCCGCGUGUGUGAAGAAGGUCUUCGGGUUGUAAAGCUCUUUUAUUGGGGAAGAAAAAAUGUCGAAUAAUCUAUGGUCGUCAUGACGGUACCUAAAGAGAAAGCCCCGGCUAACUUCGUG